UACAGAGGAGCCAAGCGUUGUCCGGAUUGACUGGGCGUAAAGCGCACGCAGGCGGUUUCGCGCGUGGGGUGUGAAAUCUGGCCGCUUAACGGCCAGGCGCCAUCCCAUACGGCGCGACUGGAGUGAUGCAGAGGUCGAUGGAAUUGCCGGUGUAGUGGUGAAAUUCGUAGAUAUCGAGAGGAACACCGGUGGCGAAGGCGGCCUGCUGGACGAUGACUGACGCUGAGACGCGAAAGCGUGGGGAGCAAACAGG
rnacentral:rRNA from 1 species